AUCCAAAUGACGAGUCCUACAUGGGACCAAACGUGCGUCCUGGGU
rfam:Schistosoma rodhaini strain Burundi genome assembly, scaffold: SROB_scaffold0001308